rnacentral:rRNA from 1 species
UACGUAGGGUGCAAGCGUUAACCGGAAUUACUGGGCGUAAAGCGUGCGUAGGCGGUUUUGUAAGUCUGUCGUGAAAGCCCCGGGCUCAACCUGGGAAUUGCGAUGGAGACUGCAAGGCUUGAAUCUGGCAGAGGGGGGUAGAAUUCCACGUGUAGCAGUGAAAUGCGUAGAGAUGUGGAGGAACACCGAUGGCGAAGGCAGCCCCCUGGGUCAAGAUUGACGCUCAUGCACGAAAGCGUGGGGAGCAAACAGG